AUAAACCCGGGAAACUGGGUAUAAUACCCGAUAGGUCUCGAUUGCUGGAAUGCAUCGAGAUUUAAAGCUCCGGCGCCUAAGGAUGGGUCUGCGGCCUAUCAGGUAGUAGUGGGUGUAGCGUACUACUAGCUACGACGGGUACGGGUUGUGAGAGCAAGAGCCCGGAGAUGGAUUCUGAGACACGAAUCCAGGCCCUACGGGGUGCAGCAGGCGCGAAAACUUUACAAUGCUGGCAACAGCGAUAAGGGAACCUCGAGUGCCAGGUUACAAAUCUGGCUGUCGAGAUGCCUAAAAAGCAUUUCAUAGCAAGGGCCGGGCAAGACCGGUGCCAGCCGCCGCGGUAACACCGGCGGCUCGAGUGGUAACCGUUAUUAUUGGGUCUAAAGGGUCUGUAGCCGGCCGGAUAAGUCUCUUGAGAAAUCUGGCAGCUUAACUGUCAGGCUUUCAGGAGAUACUGUCUGGCUCGAGGCCGGGAGAGGUGAGAGGUACUUCAGGGGUAGGGGUGAAAUCUUGUAAUCCUUGAAGGACCACCAGUGGCGAAGGCGUCUCACCAGAACGGACCUGACGGCAAGGGACGAAAGCUAGGGGCACGAACCGGAUUAGAUACCCGGGUAGUCCUAGCCGUAAACGAUACUCGCUAGGUGUCGGCCACGGUGCGACCGUUGUCGGUGCCGUAGGGAAGCCGUGAAGCGAGCCACCUGGGAAGUACGGCCGCAAGGCUGAAACUUAAAGGAAUUGGCGGGGGAGCACCACAACGGGUGGAGCUUGCGGUUUAAUUGGAUUCAACGCCGGAAAUCUUACCGGGACCGACAGCAAUAUGAAGGCCAGGCUGAAGACUUUGCCGGAUUAGCUGAGAGGUGGUGCAUGGCCGUCGUCAGUUCGUACUGUGAAGCAUCCUGUUAAGUCAGGCAACGAGCGAGACCCA
rnacentral:rRNA from 1 species